rnacentral:rRNA from 1 species
GAUGAACGCUGGCGGCGUGCCUAAUACAUGCAAGUCGAGCGAACAGACGAGGAGCUUGCUCCUCUGACGUUAGCGGCGGACGGGUGAGUAACACGUGGAUAACCUACCUAUAAGACUGGGAUAACUUCGGGAAACCGGAGCUAAUACCGGAUAAUAUAUUGAACCGCAUGGUUCAAUAGUGAAAGACGGUUUUGCUGUCACUUACAGAUGGAUCCGCGCCGCAUUAGCUAGUUGGUAAGGUAACGGCUUACCAAGGCAACGAUGCGUAGCCGACCUGAGAGGGUGAUCGGCCAGACUGGAACUGAGACACGGUCCAGACUCCUACGGGAGGCAGCAGUAGGGAAUCUUCCGCAAUGGGCGAAAGCCUGACGGAGCAACGCCGCGUGAGUGAUGAAGGUCUUCGGAUCGUAAAACUCUGUUAUUAGGGAAGAACAAAUGUGUAAGUAACUAUGCACGUCUUGACGGUACCUAAUCAGAAAGCCACGGCUAACUACGUG